CUGGAGCUGGGGCUCAAGCAGGAACAAAACACCCCAGACCUAGGGUCUGCUGUGCCCAUCUGGGGGCAAAAGUGGUGUGUGUGUGUGUGUGUGUGUGUGUGUGUGUGUGUGUGUGUGUGUGUGUGUGUGUGUGUGUGUGUGUGUGUGUGUGUGUGUGUGUGUGUGUGUGU